rnacentral:rRNA from 1 species
AAGUCGAACGAAGGCUUCGGCCUUAGUGGCGGACGGGUGAGUAACGCGUGAGAAUCUGGCCCUGGGAGGGGGACAACAGUUGGAAACGACUGCUAAUACCCCAUAGACCGCGAGGUAAAAAGAGAUUCGCCUGGGGAUGAGCUCGCGUCCGAUUAGCUAGUUGGUGAGGUAAGGGCUUACCAAGGCGACGAUCGGUAGCUGGUUUGAGAGGACAACCAGCCACACUGGGACUGAGACACGGCCCAGACUCCUACGGGAGGCAGCAGUGGGGAAUUUUCCGCAAUGGGGGGAACCCUGACGGAGCAACGCCGCGUGCGGGAGGAAGGCCUGUGGGUUGUAAACCGCUUUUCCUAGGGAAGAAGCAAUGACGGUACCUAGGGAAUAAGCCUCGGCUAACUCUGUGCCAGCAGCCGCGGUAAGACAGAGGAGGCAAGCGUUAUCCGGAAUUAUUGGGCGUAAAGCGUUCGUAGGUGGCCAGUCAAGUCUGAGGUUAAAGACCGGAGCCCAACUCCGGGAGAGCCUUGGAAACUGGGUGGCUAGAGGGUGGUAGAGGUAGCGGGAAUUCCCGGUGUAGCGGUGAAAUGCGUAGAUAUCGGGAAGAACACCAGCGGCGAAAGCGCGCUACUGGGCCAUUACUGACACUGAGGGACGAAAGCCAGGGGAGCGAAUGGGAUUAGAUACCCCAGUA